rfam:Cucumis melo, WGS project CAJI01000000 data, contig: 00330
GUUCUUUCGAGGACAUUCGAUAAAAUUUAAACGAACGAACGAUUAGUCUGGCCCCUACACAAGAAUGACAUGCACGAAUCGAAAAAUUGUCCAAUUUUGU